GUCUUAAUAAGGUUCAGUAAUACACCUAAUAUGAAUAUUAAUAUAAUUACGAUGGUAUAAUAAUUAUAUUGAUAUUUAUAUUCUAGAGAACUGCGGACAUCGCGGUGAUCGUUCGCUGAUUCCCGAGAUGAAUUUCUCCGGCGAACUCAGACGAGGAAACCCACUCACGGUUUCAACUGUUCGGAGAUACACGAACGCUCAGACCAGACGAUGACGCUCCCGGAAUGUUACUAUUGAAAUAAUUAUGCAUCAGAUGUGGACAGAUUUGAUUUUUCCGACGUCUCGCCCAAUGUGAUCGACUGACGAGUUUACACUCGUACCGUAUAAUCACGUUAUUUUUAAUUUUCCGUUCUUUUCCUGCGAGUUUUAUUUAAAUUGUUCAAACAACAAUUGUAACAUUCGUCAAACACCGUAUUUAGUCGUUAUUAAAUUCCAUUUUGUAUAAAAUGAACUAACAAAUAUUUACUCGCCUCAACAUUUCGCGUGGGUUGUUGAAAAUACAUCGG